GACGAACGCUGGCGGCGUGCUUAACACAUGCAAGUCGAACGGAAAGGCCCUGCUUUUGUGGGGUGCUCGAGUGGCGAACGGGUGAGUAACACGUGUGUAACCUGCCCUUGACUUUGGGAUAACUUCAGGAAACUGGGGCUAAUACCGGAUAGGAGCUCCUGCUGCAUGGUGGGGGUUGGAAAGUUUCGGCGGUUGGGGGUGGACUCGCGGCUUAUCAGCUUGUUGGUGGGGUAGUGGCUUACCAAGGCUUUGACGGGUAGCCGGCCUGAGAGGGUGACCGGCCACAUUGGGACUGAGAUACGGCCCAGACUCCUACGGGAGGCAGCAGUGGGGAAUAUUGCACAAUGGGCGGAAGCCUGAUGCAGCAACGCCGCGUGCGGGAUGACGGCCUUCGGGUUGUAAACCGCUUUCGCCUGUGACGAAGCGUGAGUGACGGUAAUGGGUAAAGAAGCACCGGCUAACUACGUG
rnacentral:rRNA from 1 species